CCUACGGGAGGCAGCAGUGGGGAAUAUUGCACAAUGGGGGAAACCCUGAUGCAGCGACGCCGCGUGAGUGAAGAAGUAUUUCGGUAUGUAAAGCUCUAUCAGCAGGGAAGAAAAAAGACGGUACCUGACUAAGAAGCCCCGGCUAACUACGUGCCAGCAGCCGCGGUAAUACGUAGGGGGCAAGCGUGAUACGGAUGUACGGGGUGUAAAGGGAGCGUAGACGGGGCGGCAAGUCUGAAGUGAAAGGCAGGGGCUGAACCCGUGAAAAGCGUUGGAAACUGCGAGGCUAGAGGGCUGGAGAGGGGAGGGGAAGUCCGGGUGGAGCGGGGAGAUGCGUAGAUAUGAGGAGGAACACGAGUGGCGAAGGCGGCUUACUGGACAGUAACUGACGUUGAGGGUGGAAAGCGUGGGGAGCAAACAGGAUUAGAUACCCGGGGAGUC
rnacentral:rRNA from 1 species